GAAACUGGAGCUAAUACCAAAUAAGACCACGAAGCCUCCGGGUUUUGUGGAAAAAGAUGGCCUCUUCUUGAAAGCUAUCGCCUGUUGAUGAGCCCGCGUCCCAUUAGCUUGUUGGUGAGGUAAAAGCUCACCAAGGCAUCGAUGGGUAGCUGGUCUGAGAGGAUGAUCAGCCACACUGGAACUGAGACACGGUCCAGACUCCUACGGGAGGCAGCAGUCGGGAAUCUUGCACAAUGGGCGAAAGUCUGAUGCAGCAACGCCGCGUGAGGGAUGAAGGCCCUCGGGUCGUAAACCUCUGUCGGGAGGGAAGAAACCAUGUCGGGUUAAUACCCCGGGAUGCUGACGGUACCUCCAAAGGAAGCGCCGGCUAACUCCGUGCCAGCAGCCGCGGUAAUACGGAGGGCGCAAGCGUUGUUCGGAAUCAUUGGGCGUAAAGCGCGUGUAGGCGGCUUGGCAAGUCGGAUGUGAAAAGCCCGGGGCUCAACCCNGGAAUUGCAUUCGAAACUGCCUCGCUUGA
rnacentral:rRNA from 1 species